GCCGAUUGUUUGAAACGCACGUUGCCAUCACUGGUGGGGGUAAGACGCUAGCUGCACCUUGUCAGGAGUUUCAAUUCCGGAACUUCACGUUAGGCAUUGUAAAGUACGCCUGAAGCGUUGUGGCAAGUGCAAAUCAGUUUCAAGUGCCAUCCCUCCCAUUAAGCACUGUGGUUGGUUACCAAGUCUGACUCGCUGCCAGAGUUUGAGCCCCUGGCUCGUUUUACCAUAGCAUUGCAAGAGGUCUCCCCUGGCUACUAGGGUUAACAAGGGACGCCAAGCUGACGUGGGUCCCUCCUCCCAUGUCCACCUGGGUCUUUCCUUUUGUAUGACCGUCAAGGCCAAGAUCACAGCAGCAAUUGACCACAGUUGAUAGUCUGGCCACUGUUUUCCUCCGGUUUAUUUCUUUCAUUUAGUUCUUUAUCUAUUGACUGAUCUAGCUGAAGCCACGUGUCUCGUUGUUACGUGUAUUUGUAGUAUUGUCACCCAUUUCUGUGGCCUGGGUGCCUAACCCAGGGUGAGUGGCAAGGUAACACUGUUGGUACAUUUAUGGUACUAUUCUGCCCUUAAAGUUGCUGUGUGAACACCCCCCUAGUGGUUGAGUGUGGAGUUUGACACGACCUGUAUAAGGUUGUUCUCUGUGAUUUAUCUUGACCUCACCGUUUUGCACUUUACAGUAUUACACUAGUGUGUGCAUGAGUGUGCUAUUAGUCAUCAUGUAUGGCUGAAUAGUGGUCAGAGGUACUCCAGCAGUGUUACUAUAGUUACUCUGGGUUGGCCCCCCUGGGCCUAUGUUAUGUGUUUUUGCUUUCUUUUAAGUCUGAUGUAUGUAUUGUCAUCGUGUUUUUGUUACUCCUGCCAAGU